UUACUAUCAGCAUUAUCAUCUGAUUUUCUAGUAUUUAGAUACGUGUUGUUGUUUUGUGUCUUAGUUUUAGUUUGCUUUGAUACUUCAAAUGGGAGCCACAUGAUACAGGAUCCUAUUAUGUGUAAACCAUGAUCCACGCUUUACAUCAGGUAGUCUAGAGAGAAAGGAGUGGCAGUCUAGAGAAAAAUGAAGAGUGCUGGGAGAACUAGCGUAUAAAAGAACUGGUUUAGUUCAAGUUCCAACAAAUAUAUGCUCCAGUUCUUGGAGAAAGAUUGGCGCAAAGGAAAAAAGUUCCCCGCCUGGCUCUGUGUGCUUUGGGCUUUUAAUUUUUGUACUUUAUUCUUAAACAUAGAAUAUUUUUUCUUGGUCAAACAUGACAAUGUAGCCUGAUCGAGAUGGCCUGUAAUUCCCUAGCAUUCUAUAUGAAGAAUUUGCUUUAUGUUUGAAAAUAGGCAUGAUAAACGCUUGAAAUCUCCUGUGACUUCUUAAUAA
rnacentral:lncRNA from 1 species